GCCAGGUGCGAUGGCGCACACCUGUAAUCCCAAAGACUCAGGAGGCGGAGGCAGGAGGAUUGCAAGUUCAAGACCAGCUUCAGCAACCUAGCAAGUUCUUAAGCAGCUUAGUGAGACCCUGUCUCAA
rnacentral:sRNA from 1 species